AGCAGCCGCGGUAAUUCCAGCUCCAAUAGCGUAUAUUAAAGUUGUUGCAGUUAAAAAGCUCGUAGUUGAAUUUCGGGGUUAGUAGGUUGGUCAUGCCUCCGGUAUGUACUGGUCUCACUGAUUCCUCCUUCCUGAUGAACCGUAAUGCCAUUAAUUUGGUGUUGCGGGGAAUUUGGACUGUUACUUUGAAAAAUUAGAGUGUUUAAAGCAAGCUAACGCUUGAAUACAUUAGCAUGGAAUAAUGAAAUAGGACGUUCGAUCCUAUUUUGUUGGUUUCUAGGAUUGACGUAAUGAUUAAUAGGGAUAGUUGGGGGCAUUAGUAUUCAAUUGUCAGAGGUGAAAUUCUUGGAUUUAUUGAAGACUAACUACUGCGAAAGCAUUUGCCAAGGAUGUCUUCAUUAAUCAGGAACGAAAGUUAGGGGAUCGAAGACGAUCAGAUACCGUCGUAGUCUUAACCAUAAACUAUGCCGACUAGGGAUCGGAUGAUGUUAAUUUUUUAAUGACUCACUCGGCGCCUUAC
rnacentral:rRNA from 1 species